AGAGUUUGAUCAUGGCUCAGAGUGAACGCUGGCGGCAUGCCUAACACAUGCAAGUCGAACGGUAACAGGCCCGCAAGGGUGCUGACGAGUGGCGGACGGGUGAGGAAUACAUCGGAAUUUGCCCAUGUCGUGGGGGAUAACGUAGGGAAACUUACGCUAAUACCGCAUACGACCGAGAGGUGAAAGCGGGGGAUCCGUAAGGACCUCGCGCGAUUGGAUGAGCCGAUGUCGGAUUAGCUAGUUGGCGGGGUAAAGGCCCACCAAGGCGACGAUCCGUAGCUGGUCUGAGAGGAUGAUCAGCCACACUGGGACUGAGACACGGCCCAGACUCCUACGGGAGGCAGCAGUGGGGAAUAUUGGACAAUGGGGGCAACCCUGAUCCAGCAAUGCCGCGUGUGUGAAGAAGGCCUUCGGGUUGUAAAGCACUUUUAUCCGGAACGAAACGCGCUUGGUAAUAGCCAGGCGAACUGACGGUACCGGAGGAAUAAGCACCGGCUAACUUCGUGCCAGCAGCCGCGGUA
rnacentral:rRNA from 1 species